CAAUAUUAUAAAUCAUUAAAAUGUGACUAUAAAGAUACAAUCACAUGAUUCUAAAGAUUUCAAAGGAUCAUCCACUUCUCUCCUUCAUGCAAGUUAGCAGGGAAUAAUGGUGUCAGGGGACAUUGGUUCAGUGGAACUAAUGUUCAGGGACUUGUGGGGAAGCAGUUCUGUGUGACCACCUAGUGCUUUAUAAGGCCAGCCUGCUGAGUAAGAAGAAACUGAUUAGAACCUAAUCAGCAGAACAACUGAAGUGAUUUGGAGUUGAUCUCUCACUGGUUGCUCAGUCCUCAGCCCAGAUCUUGUCUCCUGAAGCAAGUCAUUUAUCACACUUGGUUGGGCUACUCCUGUAGCCUUGCAAACAUGGGAGGCAAACUGAGUAAGAAGGGAUUCAAUGUGGCUUAUGAGAAACAAACAGCCCAGAGCAUUGAAGAAGCUACAGAGGCUGCUACAGUGAAACCAGAGGAAACCCACCCUCCUGCAGAGUCUGUGGGACUCACAACUGAGAAGAGGGACAAAGAUUCCCAGGUCCCUGCUGAUGAGACAGAAGACAAGGAAGGAGGUGGAGUCCCUGCAGCGGGUGUGGAAGAGAUCUGUACAUCUGAACC